rnacentral:rRNA from 1 species
UACAGAGGGUGCGAGCGUUAAUCGGAUUUACUGGGCGUAAAGGGCGCGUAGGCGGUGAGAUGUGUGUGAUGUGAAAGCCCCGGGCUUAACCUGGGAAGUGCAUCGCAAACUGUCUGACUGGAGUAUAUGAGAGGGUGGCGGAAUUUCCGGUGUAGCGGUGAAAUGCGUAGAUAUCGGAAGGAACGUCGAUGGCGAAGGCAGCCACCUGGCAUAAUACUGACGCUGAGGCGCGAAAGCGUGGGGAU